UUUUGCUUUGACACCGUUGCAGUGAUGAAAAAGUAUAAUGUACGACGACACUGUGAAGCCAAACAUGAGACCGACACAUGCUGCACUGGUGCUGAACUAGAAGGGAAAAUCAAACAAAUGCAAGCUAGCCUGCUAGCUCAACAACAUUUUUUUUCCGUGCUAACAAAACACAAGAAAAUGCUAUAAAAGCCAGCUACGAAGUAGCUCAACUUGCCCUACUGUUCUAAAUCGUUCUCAGAUGGUAACUUCAUAAAAAGGUGCCUCACUUAAGUCACAGGAAUAAUUUACCCACAAAAAUGAAACACAGAUGUGUGGUGAAUCUGACUUGUCAGCUAACUUAAAACAUCAAUUGUCAGAUAACCUUUGUGCUCUGUCUACUCUGAACAAAAGCAAAUUGAGAGCAAAAAUGACCGACAGCCAUCUCUGUGAUGUCCUUCGCAUCUCAACCACCAGACCUGCCAUCCAUCCUUCAGUCCGAAGUGCAGCAUGACUGAGUGCAACACUGUUCCCGUUUGGGAUCACCAUCCUGACUAAGAAGCAAUCUGAGGCUGCUGUUGUGGGAAUGAGCUGCCAGCCCUUUUUGCAACAAGAUAAAUGAAAACCCAUGAAUGGAAAGCUGUGAUGUAGGCUGUUUUUUUCUUUAAGCAUAUUCAAUUACCAAGCAUAAUAUACCUAAAUUUGAUUGAUUUUGCUAGCUUUAAUACACAAGGGGUGAGGCGAUACACCUCACCUCUAGUGAGUGGCCCAGGCCUUCGUGUAUUUUUCCGUAUGUGGCCCUCAGUGAAAAACGUUUGGGCACCACCCUGAUAAUCUAAUAGAAUCUAUUAGAGCUGUAAGCAAUGAAUUCAUAUGCUGAUUUUGGUGAUUAUGUGCUGCAUUGCUGAUGUGACUCAGUCUCAUGUAGAAUAUCACAUUGCUGGAUUGAGAUCUGUCUCUCUGGUUUACUUUUAACCAGUUAAUUGAUGAUGGUAAUUUGGUUGACCAGAAAUGCUAACAGCAUUGGUGUUGAAGGGCAUGUGGUGUACACAUCUGAACUCUGCAUGCAAAUGAUCAAACUGUUGUGUAUUGAUUGGCUGAUGAAUGUAUCAAAUUGGUUAUAAAACUUCAGUCAAGCAAUUUGAUUGAUUGUUAGUUGUCGUAUAAUAGCUGUAUAUAGCUGCAAUGAUGUCUAAUAUUCCUUACACAGUUCUGUAUCGCUAUGCAUGUAAGGAUCUCUGGCUUGCUGGUUUUGUAUCUAGGCAACACAGUAACACAUUUACAGCCACGAUUAUAUUUCUCAAUUUUGUCUGUUACAAGCUACGUUUUACAAAAUGAAAAUGUUAAAGGUCAACUUAUGACCAACCUCUCAGUGUUUAUCUCUGGUAGAAAGAUCACCAGCUAAAACAAGAGGGUGAUGAACUGGAAGAAAACAAAGUCAUCCUGUUAAUGCUUUGCACAUUAAAUGGCAACAUACAAAUUAAUGUAAAUAAAUACCCAAAAAAGAAAAAACAUAAAUAAAAUAAGCUAGUUUCCUAGGCCUACAUGGUGCUGGUGGCAUGUCAGGGCACAGUGGCCACAGUGCCUGUCCAAGUGGACUUUUUUAUUUUUCCAAUUAAUUUACCAGUGAAUAAUACAAUAAACAAAUGUUAAAUUAAUUUGCAAUUACGUGUGAAAAAUAAGAAAGCAUAUCCUGGCAUCAGUUAAGUUAGAAUCCAAAAUGAGUGGGUUUAUUUUUCCAUAAUUUUGUUCAGUAUUGCUUGCAUUGUUGUGACACCUGAUAAAUAAAUGGAGGGACCCUCCAAAGAUA